GUCUUCGUGGUGUAGUGGUCAGUACGCUCGACGCGUAUUCGAGAGGUCCGUGGUUCGAGUCCCGGCGAGGGCA
rnacentral:tRNA from 1 species